AUCAUUCCUUACUGCGGAUGCUUUAUGUACCGUAGCAGAGAGUUGCUCAGCUAAUCAAAUUUAGUCUACUCAACAGUGAAGAAUCUACUGUAUGACCCUUUUUGGAGUACCUGGUUACAUUUUAUACCAUCGAAUGCAGCACAUGAGUUCAACGUUCAGAUCCUCUCCAGGCCCUCGUAGCAAGUGUCGUACCCUGUUGGCACACGUGUGGGGAGAGCAAGGAGGGAAAAUGUGGCGGGAGAUGGCUGGGUGGAUCAGGCUCGACGUUUAGGUCCUCUCCGCAAUAAAGGUUUGGUGGCGCAACCAUCACCGCCUUUCAAUAUGUUUUCACUUCUCUGAAUAUACCUUGGGGGUUGUUACUAGUUUGUUAGUAGGAAGCAUGGCUGAAAACAUUGUAUAUAUCAUCUAAUUGCCAGCAUUAAUUC
rnacentral:lncRNA from 1 species